UCAUGUGCAUAGUACUCUCUACUCCACUCACUGAGUAUUUAUAUACUCACUCCCCAGUUUGGUGUUUUUGAUUGCAGGGCAGGUAUUGUACAGAGAAGAGCAGGAUUAGAGAUUGCCUGCUAGCUGUGCCGCUCCAUAGUAUAGUAUAGUAUAAUGUAGAUAGAGGUUUAUACCCUUUUGGUGUAUUAUAAACCUUCUAUUGUAUAUAGUGUAUAGUUAUAGUCAUAGAUCCUGUUGUGGAUAUGGGUUUGACCAUGGAUGA
rnacentral:lncRNA from 1 species